AAAUUGAAGAGUUUGAUCAUGGCUCAGAUUGAACGCUGGCGGCAGGCCUAACACAUGCAAGUCGAGCGGUAGCACAGAGAGCUUGCUCUCGGGUGACGAGCGGCGGACGGGUGAGUAAUGUCUGGGAAACUGCCUGAUGGAGGGGGAUAACUACUGGAAACGGUAGCUAAUACCGCAUAACGUCGCAAGACCAAAGUGGGGGACCUUCGGGCCUCAUGCCAUCAGAUGUGCCCAGAUGGGAUUAGCUGGUAGGUGGGGUAACGGCUCACCUAGGCGACGAUCCCUAGCUGGUCUGAGAGGAUGACCAGCCACACUGGAACUGAGACACGGUCCAGACUCCUACGGGAGGCAGCAGUGGGGAAUAUUGCACAAUGGGCGCAAGCCUGAUGCAGCCAUGCCGCGUGUGUGAAGAAGGCCUUCGGGUUGUAAAGCACUUUCAGCGGGGAGGAAGGCGGUGAGGUUAAUAACCUCAUCGAUUGACGUUACCCGCAGAAGAAGCACCGGCUAACUCCGUGCCAGCAGCCGCGGUAAUACGGAGGGUGCAAGCGUUAAUCGGAAUUACUGGGCGUAAAAAGCGCACGCAGGCGGUCUGUCAAGUCGGAUGUGAAAUCCCCGGGCUCAACCUGGGAACUGCAUUCGAAACUGGCAGGCUAGAGUCUUGUAGAGGGGGUAGAAUUCCAGGUGUAGCGGUGAAAUGCGUAGAGAUCUGGAGGAAUACCGGUGGCGAAGGCGGCCCCCUGGACAAAGACUGACGCUCAGGUGCGAAAGCGUGGGGAGCAAACAGGAUUAGAUACCCUGGUAGUCCACGCUGUAAACGAUGUCGAUUUGGAGGUUGUGCCCUUGAGGCGUGGCUUCCGGAGCUAACGCGUUAAAUCGACCGCCUGGGGAGUACGGCCGCAAGGUUAAAACUCAAAUGAAUUGACGGGGGCCCGCACAAGCGGUGGAGCAUGUGGUUUAAUUCGAUGCAACGCGAAGAACCUUACCUGGUCUUGACAUCCACAGAACUUAGCAGAGAUGCUUUGGUGCCUUCGGGAACUGUGAGACAGGUGCUGCAUGGCUGUCGUCAGCUCGUGUUGUGAAAUGUUGGGUUAAGUCCCGCAACGAGCGCAACCCUUAUCCUUUGUUGCCAGCGGUUAGGCCGGGAACUCAAAGGAGACUGCCAGUGAUAAACUGGAGGAAGGUGGGGAUGACGUCAAGUCAUCAUGGCCCUUACGACCAGGGCUACACACGUGCUACAAUGGCAUAUACAAAGAGAAGCGACCUCGCGAGAGCAAGCGGACCUCAUAAAGUAUGUCGUAGUCCGGAUUGGAGUCUGCAACUCGACUCCAUGAAGUCGGAAUCGCUAGUAAUCGUAGAUCAGAAUGCUACGGUGAAUACGUUCCCGGGCCUUGUACACACCGCCCGUCACACCAUGGGAGUGGGUUGCAAAAGAAGUAGGUAGCUUAACCUUCGGGAGGGCGCUUACCACUUUGUGAUUCAUGACUGGGGUGAAGUCGUAACAAGGUAACCGUAGGGGAACCUGCGGUUGGAUCACCUCCUUA
rnacentral:rRNA from 1 species